rnacentral:rRNA from 1 species
GACAUCGAUGAGCUUGACCUCGACGAUCAGCUAGGCGUCGCGGAUUACAUUGAGGAUAUCUACAACUUCUACAAAGUUGCCGAGAAUGAGUGCCGGCCCUGCGACUACAUGGACUCCCAGGUGGACAUCGACUCGAGGAAGCGGGGCGCCCUCGUCGACUGGAUAAUAAGAGUGCAUGAAAAGCUCGAGCUCAUGCCGGAGACCCUCUACCUCGCGGUGUACAUCAUCGACCGGUACCUCUCGAUGCAGCGGCCCGUGCUUCGAAGCGAGCUGCAGAUGGUAUGCGCCUCGGCCCUGCUGAUCGCCUGCAAGUACGAGGAGGAGGACGCCUGGGAUCCAGAGGUGGAGGUUUUCGUCUACAUAUUAAACGACGUCUACACCAGGGAGCAGAUACUGGGGGCGGAGAUGGCCAUUCUGAACACGCUUGAAUGGAACCUGUCAGUCCCUACACAUUACGUGUUCCUCUCGCGCUUUGCCAGGGCCGCGUCCUCCUCGCAUCCGAAGAACGAUGAGGAGAUGGAGAACAUGGUGUUCUUUUUUGCUGAACUGGCGCUGCUGCAAUAUGCGCUGGUGCCGUUGAAGCCCUCCAUGGUUGCUGCCGCUGCUGUCUAUGCAGCCAGGCUCACACUCAAGAAGACGCCUCUGUGGACUGAGACUCUUAAGCACCAUACUGGCUAUACUGAAUCCCAGCUAAGGGAUAGUGUAAAGAUCCUGGUGACCGCACACUCGGCUGCCCCUGAGAGCAAGUUGAAGGUGGUGUACGAGAAGUAUUCCAGCGAAAAGUUGGGAGGAGUGGCCCUGCGCCCACCUGCAAUCGACUUCUGCAAAUAA